UACAGAGGGGGCAAGCGUUGCUCGGAAUUAUUGGGCGUAAAGAGCUCGUAGGCGGUUUGUCGCGUCUGCUGUGAAAACUCAGGGCUUAACUCUGAGCUUGCAGUGGGUACGGGCAGACUAGAGUGCGGUAGGGGAGACUGGAAUUCCUGGUGUAGCGGUGAAAUGCGCAGAUAUCAGGAGGAACACCGGUGGCGAAGGCGGGUCUCUGGGCCGUAACUGACGCUGAGGAGCGAAAGCAUGGGGAGCGAACAGG
rnacentral:rRNA from 1 species